GUGGGCGCUGUUCCGCGGGGCCAGGCUGGGAGGGACGGCUGGUCGGGGGGGGGUGUCUCUUCUUGCGGCUUAGGGUGCAGGGGGUCCAUGAACCACUGUCCAUGUAGGAACUUUGCUUUUAUGUGUACGAAGUGCUCACAAUCCCCUAGUGUGGAGAAUGCGUCCCCACAUGCACGCAGACACAAGGGCACGCACGCGAACACACACACACAAGGAUCAUGGCCUCGUCCCAAACUACUGAACCAGAAAGUCAGGUCCAGACACCCCCCACCCCCGUCGUGUCGCUGGAGCACCCUGCGUUAGGGACAAUGACUGUUUGAUACGCGGCCGCCCUUCAUUUGCUGGUGUUUUAGGGUGCUCCAUUUAGUCGGGGAGUGAGGGUUAUAAUUGGUUUCUCAGUUCUGUUUGGUUCCAGGGUUUCUCUGGUCUGGUGUCAUGAGAAUGAGGCUUUCCAUCGUUUCUGUGAUCUGGUUCCGUUAAAGACCAAAGGAGGUUUGGGGUCCCAGGGCUCGAUGACUUGGUGUUUUUUGCGGGUUUGUGGGAGGAGGAGGCGCGUAAUCCCCUUCUGCACAUGGCCAGGACCCACAGGGACCUAAGCCCUUCUCCCUGCCACCCUGGGGUGCUGAGUGCCUUCCAGGCAGCGACGGAAGACGCCCUUCGCUGUCUUCCAGGACCGCUACCUGCCUGGCCCCGUCCUCCGUCCCUGCCCCCGUGCACCCGUCUGUGACCCACACAUGGAACAUUUCACUUGUCAUUUCAGUGGCAUUUCGAGGAGAGAAGUGGCCUUUGGAGGAAAAGUUCCGUUCGGCCCCAGAACCCGCCACAUUGCUCUUUCCCUGGUGUCCGCGUUCUCAGGGCCCAGGGCGUUACCGGGGCUUUACGAUCACCCACAUCACACUGUGCCUGGCACAGAACCGCGGCACUUAGGCUGUAGAAAAUACUCAUUCGGAGGUGCACCUUCCUGGUGGGCGCGCUCCCCUGGCACGGCGACUUCACCGUGAUGAGGAAAGAGUGCGUGGACGUCUAGGGGCCCCGGGCCCCGCUGCAGCCCCCUCCUCCACGCCGGGAGCCCGGCGUGCGCGCUCUCACCAACACGCUUUCCUCACCGCUGCCCGUGGCUUGCUGUUUUGCUUCCUAGUCUCGCAUCAGCUGGUGGCAAAAGAUGGGCGUGUCCCAGUCCUCCUUCCUGGCCUGGGGGAGGCUGCUCGCCGUGCAGCCCGCGGUGCACCGCCACCAGGAACAAGGACCGUUUGUCACUGAGCAUAAAGUGGUGGGGGGUAAGGUCUGACUCUCUCUCCCACUGACGUCUCGGGGGAAUCCCUUUGUGAUGGGUACCGCCCCUCACAGGGGCCUGAGCCCAGUGGGUACCAACUCCCAGGUGCCCCUGGGAGGCGUCCUUCAGCUUGAGGGCCGGAUCACCUGGGUGGGCUGGGGGCCGCCCUGGCAGAAGCAGCGCUCCCCACCCCCAGGGGUCUCUGUGAACUGGGGGAAUU